rnacentral:rRNA from 1 species
UGGGGAAUAUUGGACAAUGGGGGCAACCCUGAUCCAGCGACGCCGCGUGCGUGAAGAAGGCCUGCGGGUUGUAAAGCACUUUUAGUGGGGAUGAAAAGUGCAGAGAUAACACCUCUGCAUCUUGACCUAACCCACAGAAAAAGCACCGGCUAACUCUGUGCCAGCAGCCGCGGUAAUACGUAGGCAGCAAGCGUUGUUCGGAGUUACUGGGCGUAAAGAGUGCGUAGGUGGUGCCCUAAGUCUGUUGUGAAAUCUCCCGGCUUAACUGGGAGGGUGCGGUGGAAACUGGGGUGCUUGAGUGUGGGAGAGGUAAGCGGAAUUCCUGGUGUAGCGGUGAAAUGCGUAGAUAUCAGGAGGAACACCGGUGGUGUAGACGGCUUACUGGACCACGACUGACACUGAGGCACGAAAAGCGUGGGUAGCAAACAGGAUUAGAUACCC